rnacentral:rRNA from 1 species
UUAAGCGACUAAGCGUACACGGUGGAUGCCCUGGCAGUCAGAGGCGAUGAAGGACGUGCUAAUCUGCGAUAAGCGUCGGUGAGGUGAUAUGAACCGUUAUAACCGGCGAUUUCCGAAUGGGGAAACCCAGUGUGUUUCGACACACUAUCAUUAACUGAAUCCAUAGGUUAAUGAGGCGAACCGGGGGAACUGAAACAUCUAAGUACCCCGAGGAAAAGAAAUCAACCGAGAUUCCCCCAGUAGCGGCGAGCGAACGGGGAGGAGCCCAGAGCCUGAAUCAGUGUGUGUGUUAGUGGAAGCGUCUGGAAAGGCGCGCGAUACAGGGUGACAGCCCCGUACACAAAAAUGCACAUAUUGUGAGCUCGAUGAGUAGGGCGGGACACGUGGUAUCCUGUCUGAAUAUGGGGGGACCAUCCUCCAAGGCUAAAUACUCCUGACUGACCGAUAGUGAACCAGUACCGUGAGGGAAAGGCGAAAAGAACCCCGGCGAGGGGAGUGAAAAAGAACCUGAAACCGUGUACGUACAAGCAGUGGGAGCCUCUUAAUGGGGUGACUGCGUACCUUUUGUAUAAUGGGUCAGCGACUUAUAUUCUGUAGCAAGGUUAACCGAAUAGGGGAGCCGAAGGGAAACCGAGUCUUAACUGGGCGUUAAGUUGCAGGGUAUAGACCCGAAACCCGGUGAUCUAGCCAUGGGCAGGUUGAAGGUUGGGUAACACUAACUGGAGGACCGAACCGACUAAUGUUGAAAAAUUAGCGGAUGACUUGUGGCUGGGGGUGAAAGGCCAAUCAAACCGGGAGAUAGCUGGUUCUCCCCGAAAGCUAUUUAGGUAGCGCCUCGUGAAUUCAUCUCCGGGGGUAGAGCACUGUUUCGGCAAGGGGGUCAUCCCGACUUACCAACCCGAUGCAAACUGCGAAUACCGGAGAAUGUUAUCACGGGAGACACACGGCGGGUGCUAACGUCCGUCGUGAAGAGGGAAACAACCCAGACCGCCAGCUAAGGUCCCAAAGUCAUGGUUAAGUGGGAAACGAUGUGGGAAGGCCCAGACAGCCAGGAUGUUGGCUUAGAAGCAGCCAUCAUUUAAAGAAAGCGUAAUAGCUCACUGGUCGAGUCGGCCUGCGCGGAAGAUGUAACGGGGCUAAACCAUGCACCGAAGCUGCGGCAGCGACACUAUGUGUUGUUGGGUAGGGGAGCGUUCUGUAAGCCUGUGAAGGUGGCCUGUGAGGGUUGCUGGAGGUAUCAGAAGUGCGAAUGCUGACAUAAGUAACGAUAAAGCGGGUGAAAAGCCCGCUCGCCGGAAGACCAAGGGUUCCUGUCCAACGUUAAUCGGGGCAGGGUGAGUCGACCCCUAAGGCGAGGCCGAAAGGCGUAGUCGAUGGGAAACAGGUUAAUAUUCCUGUACUUGGUGUUACUGCGAAGGGGGGACGGAGAAGGCUAUGUUGGCCGGGCGACGGUUGUCCCGGUUUAAGCGUGUAGGCUGGUUUUCCAGGCAAAUCCGGAAAACCAAGGCUGAGGCGUGAUGACGAGGCACUACGGUGCUGAAGCGACAAAUGCCCUGCUUCCAGGAAAAGCCUCUAAGCAUCAGGUAACAUCAAAUCGUACCCCAAACCGACACAGGUGGUCAGGUAGAGAAUACCAAGGCGCUUGAGAGAACUCGGGUGAAGGAACUAGGCAAAAUGGUGCCGUAACUUCGGGAGAAGGCACGCUGAUAUGUAGGUGAAGCGACUUGCUCGUGGAGCUGAAAUCAGUCGAAGAUACCAGCUGGCUGCAACUGUUUAUUAAAAACACAGCACUGUGCAAACACGAAAGUGGACGUAUACGGUGUGACGCCUGCCCGGUGCCGGAAGGUUAAUUGAUGGGGUUAGCGGUAACGCGAAGCUCUUGAUCGAAGCCCCGGUAAACGGCGGCCGUAACUAUAACGGUCCUAAGGUAGCGAAAUUCCUUGUCGGGUAAGUUCCGACCUGCACGAAUGGCGUAAUGAUGGCCAGGCUGUCUCCACCCGAGACUCAGUGAAAUUGAACUCGCUGUGAAGAUGCAGUGUACCCGCGGCAAGACGGAAAGACCCCGUGAACCUUUACUAUAGCUUGACACUGAACAUUGAGCCUUGAUGUGUAGGAUAGGUGGGAGGCUUUGAAGUGUGGACGCCAGUCUGCAUGGAGCCGACCUUGAAAUACCACCCUUUAAUGUUUGAUGUUCUAACGUGGGCCCGUAAUCCGGGUUGCGGACAGUGUCUGGUGGGUAGUUUGACUGGGGCGGUCUCCUCCUAAAGAGUAACGGAGGAGCACGAAGGUUGGCUAAUCCUGGUCGGACAUCAGGAGGUUAGUGCAAUGGCAUAAGCCAGCUUGACUGCGAGCGUGACGGCGCGAGCAGGUGCGAAAGCAGGUCAUAGUGAUCCGGUGGUUCUGAAUGGAAGGGCCAUCGCUCAACGGAUAAAAGGUACUCCGGGGAUAACAGGCUGAUACCGCCCAAGAGUUCAUAUCGACGGCGGUGUUUGGCACCUCGAUGUCGGCUCAUCACAUCCUGGGGCUGAAGUAGGUCCCAAGGGUAUGGCUGUUCGCCAUUUAAAGUGGUACGCGAGCUGGGUUUAGAACGUCGUGAGACAGUUCGGUCCCUAUCUGCCGUGGGCGCUGGAGAACUGAGGGGGGCUGCUCCUAGUACGAGAGGACCGGAGUGGACGCAUCACUGGUGUUCGGGUUGUCAUGCCAAUGGCACUGCCCGGUAGCUAAAUGCGGAAGAGAUAAGUGCUGAAAGCAUCUAAGCACGAAACUUGCCCCGAGAUGAGUUCUCCCUGAGACUUAGAGUCUCCUGAAGGAACGUUGAAGACGACGACGUUGAUAGGCCGGGUGUGUAAGCGCAGCGAUGCGUUGAGCUAACCGGUACUAAUGAACCGUGAGGCUUAACCUU